CGAGUCGUCCAUAGGGAAAGGCAAUUCGACAUCAAACGACAACAACGUUUAACGGAACCGAACUGGAAAAUUUCCCAUGAAGGGCCUAUAAAAGGCAAAAAGCCAAGGAUCAGCAAGUCAGCGUAGCGUCACUUCAACUUUCUUAAGUACCUCGUCACAUGCAUAUCAAGGAAUAAUGCAUCGUCUUCAAGAAUAAAGGCAAAGACGUCGAGCUUGGGUUCGUAUGAGAUUUAGUUACUUCCUCAGUCUGUGGAAAAUCAGAAAAUGUGUAAAUUGGCGUCAACUAAUCCGCAAUAAAAGUUCUGUAGUCAAAUUAUGUCCAGUAAGAAAUGUAUUUCUAUUGGCAGUUGUU